rnacentral:rRNA from 1 species
UACGGGGGGGGCAAGCGUUGUUCGGAAUUACUGGGCGUAAAGGGCUCGUAGGCGGCCAACUAAGUCAGACGUGAAAUCCCUCGGCUUAACCGGGGAACUGCGUCUGAUACUGGAUGGCUUGAGUGUGGGAGAGGGAUGCGGAAUUCCAGGUGUAGCGGUGAAAUGCGUAGAUAUCUGGAGGAACACCGGUGGCGAAGGCGGCAUCCUGGAUCACGACUGACGCUGAGGAGCGAAAGCCAGGGGAGCAAACGGG